rnacentral:lncRNA from 1 species
GGGGCUAUAUUCGUAAAAAUGGCUUCUGUUUUUUUGUUUGUUCACAAGGGGCUGAGCUGUAAUUUCACUAGGCUUUUAGGUUAGUUUUGCAUUUGAUUCAAGUUUGGGUAUAGGUUUGGGGUUAAAAUCAAGUUGUGGGUUAGUUUUGGCAAAAACCCCUAUUUUUUUUACCUUUUUCAUAAGAAUGCAACUUUGACUAUUCCUAAGAUCAUGGUUAUGUCCAGAGAAGUUAUCCAUAAGAAAAAAAUCCAGUUUGGAAGCUUUUUUAGCAGUAUAAGUAAUCUAGCCACACAAUGAUGGUCUAAUGACAGGUGAGUUUUAGAUUGAUAUGCAAUUUAAGUUCAAAGGCCCUCCACAAUACUCGAUCGUGUGGCCACACAAGUAU